AUGUCUCUCCCGCAAGUCAAAGAAACCGGAAGGGGGUGGGUCAACCCAGGCGCUGGCUUGAGGAUUGAUGCAUACAGUGGGAAGUUCAAGGAGCACAACGGGCCUGACUCUGAUCCGGCCUCACAGGACAUUGGCGCUACAAUUUCCCUCCAGUCGGGAGAUGUCAAGAAGGGUGGUCGGUUAUAUGUUGGCGAUGGUGCCAUCCAUAAGAAGGACAUCCAAAAACUCUCUCACCUCCGUGCUACCACGUCGAGCUCAGGUCCUGCUAUAGAGCGUCGCCCACAGCUUGGGCUGCACAUGCUUCAUCAACUCGAGGCCAAUGCCAGGCUUCGAGAGGAGCAAGCCAUGAAAAUGCAGCAGGCUUUCAACAGCAAGAAUUCAUGGUUAAACAACAGGCAAUCCUGCAAGAGACAUUUGCUCAACUCAGAAAUAAUAUGCAGGGUUCCACUUUGCCCGUUCUUCCUCCUCUUCCGACUCUUCCUAAUUUCAACUUUUUUUCUCAGUCGGGAAAAGACUCCAAUAACUGUGUGGUAG
rnacentral:rRNA from 1 species